rnacentral:lncRNA from 1 species
CGUACAUCUCGCAACAGAAAGCCCAACACGUGCCGGGUUCCUGCCCCUACAACCAUUUGUUGUGUUGCCCAUACUGAGACACUUGAAAUCACGUUUGGCCCGAUCACGUUCGAUGCUCCUUUUCCCGGCAAGACUCCCCACAAGACCGACUGUAUAACUUUAAGAAACAAUGGUUCACGUACAGUCGCCGUGCAAAUGCACACUGGUCGCUGUGAGUGAACAUAGAACGUCAGUCUUUUCUGGCAAUCAGUUCCCCACCAUUUAACGGAUCCUGUGGGUGGUGCAGUCGUCGCAUUUUCACUCGGUGAACCGGCAUGCAGCCGGAACAUGUGACUAGUUGCUCCCUCUCCACUGUGUCGUUAUUGUUUUGGUCCUUGUGUAGAAUUCUGCUCCCAUUUUGCCGUUGAAGUGAAGCGCUCCACGCAUGCUGUUGUUCCAGCCGGUGAAUGAGAAGCUUGCAAGGGGAAGAGGUAUCGGCACAUUUAUCCCGACCUUCGCAGCAGACAGGCAAGCAUCAUGGGAGGACGGCGAUUGGGACACAGGCAACAAACUCAGUGGCGCUCGACACGCCCGGAGGCCGCACCGUGGGAUUGGCUACUCAAGAAGCUAAAGUCACAUUCAGAGCGAAUGUGAAGACUGUGCCUACUCACCUGCCCGACAGCGACAGCCUGCUGGAACGAGCGAGCUGUGGAGCCACUCUGUGUGAAAAUAGCCGUGCCAUUCCCCUGAACCAGCAGGAAGAAAUACGUCGACGAAAGCUGUGCCUCUCUGGCACCGUGCCGACUCGCGAGACGCGUCAAUUUCCUUUCGCUUCACAGCAAAUCGACGGGUGUGUCAAAGCGGGCUCAGAAGCGAUAGCAGCUGGGGAGAACCAGAAGAGGAUAGGAACAAAGGGCUCUGCUCUUUACUUUUUGUGUGGGCAAAUCCUGACUCACAUAUUUGUUGGUGUUCACGAGGUCCACCGCCUGUUGAAGAGAAUUGACCUUCUUAACGCAUAGAACCGGCCCGAAAAGUUCCUCCUGGGCAAAAGACAAACACACCCGCCAGGACAGAAGGCUCACUGUACAGUGUGUUGAACCUGACCACAUACUAUUCCGGAACGAGAAUAUUCGUCUAAGGAUUCCUACGUGCAUAGUCCUAUGCCUCUUUCGUCAUUCGAAUCAGAGAAGGUAUCGAAUCUUUCUUUUCCUGCAUCUGAAGACAAUGAACCAGCAGUUUUUCUGCAGCAGCGGGUGUGACACCAAGCAAUCGAUACAGUUACUGUAUCAGUCAGGUGCUGAAAACUUGUAAGAUUAGUACUUUGUCUCUUCCGUCUGCUGUGAAACGAUGGUGCCAUUCUCUUAGAAGCCGAGUUCUCUCACGAGCGCCGCAAGGUGCUGUGGAGGAUUUCCCUUGUCUGAGGAGUACCUUGUAGGCGGUGAUGUCCAGAUGAGGAAUCUCAAGUACUGUCGGACCAAGAAAGUUGCCGUUGGGGAGGCCUUCUACGACCGGAUGAAGGCCGUCGAGGACCAGCUUUGCGCCCUCGCGAAUGCUCUGCUUCACCGCCGCCUUGACUCGAAGCUUCGAUUCCUUGGAAAUCAACGGCCCAACUUUGACGCUCGGGUCGUUGCCGGCGCCAACUGAGUAGAAAAGGCGGAGAAUGACUAUUAUCACGGGGUAUAGGUGCUCUCUUUAAUCCGAUUGUGCCUGCCAAACAAAGUACCCUGCGAGUGUGGUGAUUUUCGUCUACCCGAUAGCGCAGAUAGCCUAACGGCGGCCGACAGGUGAAACUGGGCAGGUGUUCUUAUCACCCCGCAUAGAGUAUCAAUCCGUUAACAUUUGAAGCUAGACUUGGGGAACGAGACUGUGUCUUGUUGAGGACGGUCUGAUGUGACUGGCACCUUCAAAUCGACGGAGAAAUCAAGAGCGAACACGCCGGAAAUAUAAGACAGGAGAUAGUGUGGCAGGACUACGACGGGAAGGAUUUCUUUUGGUGUCCUGCCCCCCCCCUGCAGUGAGAGACCAAGAGAAGUCACGACAGGGGCGCAGAGAAACAGCCCGUCAGUAUUGAAUUUUGAGGCAUUGGUGACCUGCCUUUUAAAGCACUUGCACGGAGGAGGAGGUCUUCCAACCAGUUUCCGGCGUCGCCAACCAAUAGCACCACUGAAAUGGACAUGCAGCGCUGGCCUGCUUCGCCGAAAGCCGCAGUUACAACUCCAUUGAGAGCUUCUUCCUUGUCUGCGUCUGCGUUUUCCACACCGUCGCAGGGAUGUGAACAUGUAAUGCGAAGACAUUGAUGACUCCGUGUGACUACAUAGAGCACUUUGUACUAGUGGCAUUGAUUAUUGUUUGCAGCAUUAAACGCAUUUAUCCGUGUGUUCAAAACGCCUGAAGCCCCAGUGGAGCGAACCCAGCUCCCGUGCAGUGGUCAGGGUGCGGCAGUGGGGCGUGAGCUGUUCCAGCUUUCGAAGGGCACACUCUAACAGGGAAGUGGAAUCAGGACGUGUUCUGUGGUGUAAAGUUGAAGGGGGGAUCUUCAGGGGCCAGAUAACUUGAAAGGUACAUACCUGGCAUGACAACUGCAUGGUUUUUCGCCCCCAUGUUGCAUUGAGCGCGUUUCCCGGACUCUCCGCACA